rnacentral:rRNA from 1 species
GGGUUGUGAGGUUAAGCGACUAAGCGUACACGGUGGAUGCCCUGGCAGUCAGAGGCGAUGAAGGACGUGCUAAUCUGCGAUAAGCGUCGGUAAGGUGAUAUGAACCGUUAUAACCGGCGAUUUCCGAAUGGGGAAACCCAGUGUGUUUCGACACACUAUCAUUAACUGAAUCCAUAGGUUAAUGAGGCGAACCGGGGGAACUGAAACAUCUAAGUACCCCGAGGAAAAGAAAUCAACCGAGAUUCCCCCAGUAGCGGCGAGCGAACGGGGAGCAGCCCAGAGCCUGAAUCAGUGUGUGUGUUAGUGGAAGCGUCUGGAAAGGCGCGCGAUACAGGGUGACAGCCCCGUACACAAAAAUGCACAUGCUGUGAGCUCGAUGAGUAGGGCGGGACACGUGGUAUCCUGUCUGAAUAUGGGGGGACCAUCCUCCAAGGCUAAAUACUCCUGACUGACCGAUAGUGAACCAGUACCGUGAGGGAAAGGCGAAAAGAACCCCGGCGAGGGGAGUGAAAAAGAACCUGAAACCGUGUACGUACAAGCAGUGGGAGCACGCUUAGGCGUGUGACUGCGUACCUUUUGUAUAAUGGGUCAGCGACUUAUAUUCUGUAGCAAGGUUAACCGAAUAGGGGAGCCGAAGGGAAACCGAGUCUUAACUGGGCGUUAAGUUGCAGGGUAUAGACCCGAAACCCGGUGAUCUAGCCAUGGGCAGGUUGAAGGUUGGGUAACACUAACUGGAGGACCGAACCGACUAAUGUUGAAAAAUUAGCGGAUGACUUGUGGCUGGGGGUGAAAGGCCAAUCAAACCGGGAGAUAGCUGGUUCUCCCCGAAAGCUAUUUAGGUAGCGCCUCGUGAAUUCAUCUCCGGGGGUAGAGCACUGUUUCGGCAAGGGGGUCAUCCCGACUUACCAACCCGAUGCAAACUGCGAAUACCGGAGAAUGUUAUCACGGGAGACACACGGCGGGUGCUAACGUCCGUCGUGAAGAGGGAAACAACCCAGACCGCCAGCUAAGGUCCCAAAGUCAUGGUUAAGUGGGAAACGAUGUGGGAAGGCCCAGACAGCCAGGAUGUUGGCUUAGAAGCAGCCAUCAUUUAAAGAAAGCGUAAUAGCUCACUGGUCGAGUCGGCCUGCGCGGAAGAUGUAACGGGGCUAAACCAUGCACCGAAGCUGCGGCAGCGACACUAUGUGUUGUUGGGUAGGGGAGCGUUCUGUAAGCCUGUGAAGGUGUGCUGUGAGGCAUGCUGGAGGUAUCAGAAGUGCGAAUGCUGACAUAAGUAACGAUAAAGCGGGUGAAAAGCCCGCUCGCCGGAAGACCAAGGGUUCCUGUCCAACGUUAAUCGGGGCAGGGUGAGUCGACCCCUAAGGCGAGGCCGAAAGGCGUAGUCGAUGGGAAACAGGUUAAUAUUCCUGUACUUGGUGUUACUGCGAAGGGGGGACGGAGAAGGCUAUGUUGGCCGGGCGACGGUUGUCCCGGUUUAAGCGUGUAGGCUGGUUUUCCAGGCAAAUCCGGAAAAUCAAGGCUGAGGCGUGAUGACGAGGCACUACGGUGCUGAAGCAACAAAUGCCCUGCUUCCAGGAAAAGCCUCUAAGCAUCAGGUAACAUCAAAUCGUACCCCAAACCGACACAGGUGGUCAGGUAGAGAAUACCAAGGCGCUUGAGAGAACUCGGGUGAAGGAACUAGGCAAAAUGGUGCCGUAACUUCGGGAGAAGGCACGCUGAUAUGUAGGUGAAGUCCCUCGCGGAUGGAGCUGAAAUCAGUCGAAGAUACCAGCUGGCUGCAACUGUUUAUUAAAAACACAGCACUGUGCAAACACGAAAGUGGACGUAUACGGUGUGACGCCUGCCCGGUGCCGGAAGGUUAAUUGAUGGGGUUAGCCGCAAGGCGAAGCUCUUGAUCGAAGCCCCGGUAAACGGCGGCCGUAACUAUAACGGUCCUAAGGUAGCGAAAUUCCUUGUCGGGUAAGUUCCGACCUGCACGAAUGGCGUAAUGAUGGCCAGGCUGUCUCCACCCGAGACUCAGUGAAAUUGAACUCGCUGUGAAGAUGCAGUGUACCCGCGGCAAGACGGAAAGACCCCGUGAACCUUUACUAUAGCUUGACACUGAACAUUGAGCCUUGAUGUGUAGGAUAGGUGGGAGGCUUAGAAGUGUGGACGCCAGUCUGCAUGGAGCCGACCUUGAAAUACCACCCUUUAAUGUUUGAUGUUCUAACGUUGACCCGUAAUCCGGGUUGCGGACAGUGUCUGGUGGGUAGUUUGACUGGGGCGGUCUCCUCCUAAAGAGUAACGGAGGAGCACGAAGGUUGGCUAAUCCUGGUCGGACAUCAGGAGGUUAGUGCAAUGGCAUAAGCCAGCUUGACUGCGAGCGUGACGGCGCGAGCAGGUGCGAAAGCAGGUCAUAGUGAUCCGGUGGUUCUGAAUGGAAGGGCCAUCGCUCAACGGAUAAAAGGUACUCCGGGGAUAACAGGCUGAUACCGCCCAAGAGUUCAUAUCGACGGCGGUGUUUGGCACCUCGAUGUCGGCUCAUCACAUCCUGGGGCUGAAGUAGGUCCCAAGGGUAUGGCUGUUCGCCAUUUAAAGUGGUACGCGAGCUGGGUUUAGAACGUCGUGAGACAGUUCGGUCCCUAUCUGCCGUGGGCG